AUGUGGUCCUAUCUUUGUCAGCGCUAUCAGCCCUCUGGUGAUGCUCUAUACCUCUCUGUGGUGCGUCAGGAGCAUGCUCUUCAGCAGGGUGACUCGUCUGUGGAUGAGUUCUAUUCCCAGUGCUCUGCCAUCUGGCGUCAGCUUGACUCACUGCGGACAGUUGUUUGUGGCACUUGCUGUUGUUGCCAGACUACGAGGUCUGACUUGGAGUUUCAGAGGGUCCAUGAGUUCUUAUCUCGUCUCCGCUCCGAGUUUGAGCCUCGCCGUGCUCACUUGCUUGCUCGUGGUCGUGUUCCUAUCUCGGGGAUACUUGCUGAGCUUCGUGCUGAGGAGACCCGCCUUCGCUCUGCUGGGUUGCUUCUGGUUCCGUCAGUUUUGGUUGCCCGGGCUCCUACUGCUCCGCCGCUCCUGCCCACUCCUCCAGGGGGAGUGAGCCGUCCUCCUUAUGCUGAGAAGGGCACGUCGCGCCGUGACACCGUCUGUGGUUACUGCUCCCGGCCAGGUCACCCAGAGUCUGAUUGUCGCCAGAAGAAGCGAGACCAGAGGCGCUCCUCCUCCAGCGGGCCUCCUGUGUCU
rnacentral:rRNA from 1 species